CACAGAUGUUUUAUGCUGCGAUUGAGCGGAUCAACAUACUUGUUCACAACGGCCCAUCCAUACCUAUUAUAUUGAUCCAAAAUGUUAUCUCAAAACAGGGAAAAUCUUAAAAUCUACGAAACAGAUUAUAAGAUACUUCAGGACAACAUGCGUAAAAAUAAAAUAAUAUUCCAAGAUCUCGAUGGCCGAAUCCAAAUUGUGUAUUAACAUUAU
rnacentral:misc_RNA from 1 species